CCUACGGGAGGCAGCAGUGGGGAAUCUUGGACAAUGGGCGCAAGCCUGAUCCAGCCAUGCCGCGUGUGUGAUGAAGGCCUUAGGGUCGUAAAGCACUUUCGCCAGAGAUGAUAAUGACAGUAUCUGGUAAAGAAACCCCGGCUAACUCCGUGCCAGCAGCCGCGGUAAUACGGAGGGGGUUAGCGUUGUUCGGAAUUACUGGGCGUAAAGCGCACGUAGGCGGAUUAGUCAGUCAGAGGUGAAAUCCCAGGGCUCAACCCUGGAACUGCCUUUGAUACUGCUAGUCUUGAGUUCGAGAGAGGUGAGUGGAAUUCCGAGUGUAGAGGUGAAAUUCGUAGAUAUUCGGAGGAACACCAGUGGCGAAGGCGGCUCACUGGCUCGAUACUGACGCUGAGGUGCGAAAGUGUGGGGAGCAAACAGGAUUAGAUACCCUGGUAGUCCACACCGUAAACGAUGAAUGCCAGUCGUCGGGCAGUAUACUGUUCGGUGACACACCUAACGGAUUAAGCAUUCCGCCUGGGGAGUACGGUCGCAAGAUUAAAACUCAAAUGAAUUGACGG
rnacentral:rRNA from 1 species